rnacentral:lncRNA from 10 species
UUUUUUUUUUUUUGCUAAUCCUUUCCAUGUAUCCUCCCAAACACAUGUGUCUUUCCCACAGUAGGUACUUCAUGUAGAUGCUUAAUAGCUUCACCUAUCUUCCUCUAUGCUGCCUCUUAUCUAUAGAUAAACUUUUAAGUGACUAUGUACACAUCUUCCAGCUACAUUACUCAACUGUAAACAUUUCAAUCCCAUCCAGAUGUCAAAACGCAGCUGAUUUUUCUGAAUGCAGGGAUUCCCUCUGGGAACUAGGGCUUUGGAACAGUGAAGCAUAUCCUAGCAAUGAGGCAUGGAAGAGGCACCUGGAACCCAUUAGCAAAGGAUAAGCUGCCAUUCCUAACAUCUAACUGGGGGCUUUCAUCCUGUACAACUUAUAAUUGAUCAAACUUUGGGAGCUGUAGAUAGUACACAAAGUAUAUUUUUGCUGAUUUUGAUUUAUCUUUAGUCCAUACAAGCUGUUUCUCAUCAUUGCUUAGGGAACCAACUGAAAUCUAAUUUCACCACGAAAAGAGAUUUGACCUCACCAGGUUAAUCACUACAGCUGACCCAAUUUGAAUCAAGAUUGAGUUCAGAGUCAGGAACACCAACAUCAACCUAACCAAGUGCUAACUUAGGACAGGUUACUAGGGUAUGAUUGAAAACAAUAUAUCUGAUAACUAGAAGAAAGUAAAUGGUUUAAUAUGAGCAGGUUAAGUACAUGAGAGUUCUGAAUCCAGUUCUCAAGCCAAAGUCAGGUAUCCAAGAUAUUAGAAUCAAGUUAUCAACUAAUGUCAGAAGCAACAAAACCAGUUGGGAAGGCCAUAAGAAUAUGGUCAAUGUCUUAUGCAUCCUUUACAUUUUCCUUCUUCAACUCUUAGCACUUUCCUUAGACAUUAGUAGGAGGAAAAACAAAACAAAACAAAACAAAAGCCUUUAGAGCAAUCAACUUUAAAAGUUUCAAUAAUUAAGGCAUUAGACCUAAGCACUCGGAGAACAAUUUGGUUUUCUUUACCCUGUAGAAUAGUAGGAAGCAGCUUCUUGUCUAUAAUAAAGCACAAUUUAUCCCUGGAUUAUUUCUGAUAGUACUAGCUGCUAUGACAAAUCCCAAAUCUCAGUGGAAUUUAUUUCUCACUCACACAAAGUGGCAAACACAUGUCCCUGGUCCACUUGAGACUCUUUUUCAUAUGGUGAGUCAGGGACUUAGUUUCCUAUUUGCUGUGGCUCCUCUGCUUCCCAAUCCAUAACCUCCACAGCCUCCGCUCUCAUCCACACCAAGCCAGAUCGGGAACAAAUAUGGAGGACUGAGCAUCAGAUUCUUUUUUCAAUGAAGCUGGCCUGAAAGUGGCAGAAAUCACUUCCACUCAUACUCUAUUGGCCAGAACUCAGUUACCUGGCUGGCCUUACCUUGUGAAAAUGAUUAUACUGUCUUGGGAAUAAAGAGGUGAAGAAUAAAAAUGUUUCUCCCUCCUGAAGCUUUCACCCUGUUUAGUCUUCGAGUUCUCGAUCUCCUCAAGCAAACAAGGAUGAGCUAGUCGCCUUAUAUCAGGAUGGGCUGCAAAGUUGGUUCAGACCUCCUCAGGCUUGCCAGGGAACUAAGAGGGGGCUUGGCACUAGA